AUACGUAGGGGGCGAGCGUUGUCCGGAAUGAUUGGGCGUAAAGGGCGCGUAGGCGGCCCGGUAAGUCUGGAGUGAAAGUCCUGUUUUUGAGAUGGGAAUUGCUUUGGAUACUGUCAGGCUUGAGUGCAGGAGAGGUAAGUGGAAUUCCCAGUGUAGCGGUGAAAUGCGUAGAGAUUGGGAGGAACACCAGUGGCGAAGGCGACUUACUGGACUGUAACUGACGCUGAGGCGCGAAAGUGUGGGGAGCAAACAGGAUUAGAUACCCUGGUAGUCCACACUGUAAACGAUGAAUGCUAGGUGUAGGGGGUAUCGACCCCUUCUGUGCCGCAGUCAACACAAUAAGCAUUCCGCCUGGGGAGUACGGCCGCAAGGUUGAAACUCAAAUGAAUUGACGGGG
rnacentral:rRNA from 1 species